GAAAUGCGAUACGUAAUGUGAAUUGCAGAAUUCAGUGAAUCAUCGAGUCUUUGAACGCACAUUGCGCCCCCUGGUAUUCCGGGGGGCAUGCCUGUCCGAGCGUCAUUGCUGCCCUCAAGCACGGCUUGUGUGUUGGGCCCCCGUCCCCCCCCCAAGGGGACGGGCCCGAAAGGCAGGGGCGGCACCGUGUCCGGUCCUCGAGCGUAUGGGAAGCAACUUUUUGUCACCCGCUCCUGUAGGUCCGGCCGGCGGCCUGCCCAACCCCAACCUUUUUUUCAACCAGGUUGACCUCGGAUCAGGUAGGGAUACCCGCUGAACUUAAGC
rnacentral:misc_RNA from 1 species